rnacentral:rRNA from 1 species
CCUACGGGUGGCAGCAGUAGAGAAUCAUGCACAAUGGGCGAAACCCUGAUGGAGCGACGCCGCGUGGGGGAAGGAAGGUCUACGGAUUGUAAACCCCUGUCAUGUGGGAGCAAAUUAAAAAGAUAGUACCACAAGAGGAAGAGACGGCUAACACGGAGCGUGUAGCCGCGUUAAUACAGAGGUCUUAAGCGUUGUUCGGAAUCACUGGUCGUAAAGUGUGCGUAGGCGGGUGCGUAAGUCGUGUGUGAAAGGCGCGGGCUCAACCCGCGGACGGCACCUGAUACUGGGAGGCUAGAGUACUGGAGGGGGAGGCGGAAUUCUCGGUGUAGCGGUGAAAUGCGUAGAUAUCGGGAGGAACGCUCGUGGCGAAGGCAGGUUCCUGGACAUUAACUGACGCUGAGGCACGAAAGCCAGGGGAGCGAAAAGGAUUAGAUACCCUGGUAGUC